rnacentral:rRNA from 1 species
AACGAGAUCUUCGGAUCUAGUGGCGCACGGGUGCGUAACGCGUGGGAAUCUGCCCUUGGGUUCGGAAUAACUUCUGGAAACGGAAGCUAAUACCGGAUGAUGACGUAAGUCCAAAGAUUUAUCGCCCAAGGAUGAGCCCGCGUAGGAUUAGCUAGUUGGUGGGGUAAAGGCCCACCAAGGCGACGAUCCUUAGCUGGUCUGAGAGGAUGAUCAGCCACACUGGGACUGAGACACGGCCCAGACUCCUACGGGAGGCAGCAGUAGGGAAUAUUGGACAAUGGGGGAAACCCUGAUCCAGCAAUGCCGCGUGAGUGAUGAAGGCCUUAGGGUUGUAAAGCUCUUUUACCCGGGAUGAUAAUGACAGUACCGGGAGAAUAAGCUCCGGCUAACUCCGUGCCAGCAGCCGCGGUAAUACGGAGGGAGCUAGCGUUGUUCGGAAUUACUGG